rnacentral:rRNA from 1 species
GACGAACGCUGGCGGCGUGCUUAACACAUGCAAGUCGAACGGAAAGGCCCUGCUUUCGGGGUAUUCGAGAGGGGAACGGGGGUGUAACACGUGGGUGAACUGCCCUGUACUCUGGGAUAAGCCUGGGAAACACUGUCGAAUACCGGAGAUAAGACAUCUUGAUGGUGAUUGUUGGAUGGUUUUUUCGGUGUAGGAGGAGCUGCCGGCCUAUCAGCUUGUUGGUGGGGGAAGGGCCUACCAAGGCAGGGAUCGGUAGGCCGCCGGGGGGGGUGGACGGCCACCAUGGGACUGAGAAACGGCCCAGAAUCCUACGGGAGGCAACAGUGGGGAAUAUUGCACAAUGGGCGCGAGCCUGAUGCAACGACGCCCGGUGGGGGAUGACCGCCUUCGGGUUGUAAACUCCUUUCGGUAUGGAAGGAGCUUUUUGUGACGGUACCUUGAUAAGAAGCACCGGCUAACUACGUG